UACGUAGGUGGCAAGCGUUGUCCGGAUUUAUUGGGUUUAAAGGGUGCGUAGGCGGUUCUUUAAGUCAGUGGUGAAAUACAGCAGCUUAACUGUCGAGGUGCCAUUGAUACUGGGGAACUUGAGUACUGAUGAGGUAGGCGGAAUGGACGGUGUAGCGGUGAAAUGCUUAGAUAUCGUCCAGAACACCGAUAGCGAAGGCAGCUUACUAAGGAGUAACUGACGCUGAGGCACGAAAGUGUGGGGAUCAAACAGG
rnacentral:rRNA from 1 species